UUGGUCCUGCUUUGAGCAGGGGGUUGGACUAGAUACCUCCUGAGGUCCCUUACAACUCUGAUAUUCCGUGAUUCUGAGGGGUGCGGGAAAUCUGGUUCUGUAUUGUAGGUUAAAUGAAUUAUAACUUGGAAUUCUGUAUUAAUAUGCCUAGGAAGGAAUCUAUUUGUCAAAAAACAUUUCCUGAAUCAUUUUGGGGG